rnacentral:rRNA from 1 species
GAUGAACGCUAGCUACAGGCUUAACACAUGCAAGUCGAGGGGAAACGGCAUUAAGUGCUUGCACUUUUUGGACGUCGACCGGCGCACGGGUGAGUAACGCGUAUCCAACCUUCCCAUGACUAAGGGAUAACCUGCCGAAAGGCAGACUAAUACCUUAUGGUCUUCACUGACGGCAUCAGAUGUGAAGUAAAGAUUUAUCGGUUAUGGAUGGGGAUGCGUCUGAUUAGCUUGUUGGCGGGGUAACGGCCCACCAAGGCAACGAUCAGUAGGGGUUCUGAGAGGAAGGUCCCCCACAUUGGAACUGAGACACGGUCCAAACUCCUACGGGAGGCAGCAGUGAGGAAUAUUGGUCAAUGGGCGAGAGCCUGAACCAGCCAAGUAGCGUGCAGGAUGACGGCCCUAUGGGUUGUAAACUGCUUUUGUAUGGGGAUAAAGUCAAUCACGUGUGAUUGUUUGCAGGUACCAUACGAAUAAGGACCGGCUAAUUCCGUGCCAGCAGCCGCGGUAAUACGGAAGGUCCGGGCGUUAUCCGGAUUUAUUGGGUUUAAAGGGAGCGUAGGCUGGAGAUUAAGUGUGUUGUGAAAUGUAGGCGCUCAACGUCUGACUUGCAGCGCAUACUGGUUUCCUUGAGUACGCACAACGUUGGCGGAAUUCGUCGUGUAGCGGUGAAAUGCUUAGAUAUGACGAAGAACUCCGAUUGCGAAGGCAGCUGACGGGAGCGCAACUGACGCUGAAGCUCGAAGGUGCGGGUAUCGAACAGG